GUAGGUGGCAAGCGUUGUCCGGGAAUUAUUGGGGCGUAAAGCGCGCGCAGGCGGUUCGUUUAAGUCUGAUGUGAAAGCCCACGGGCUCAACCGUGGAGGGUCAUUGGAAACUGGAGAACUUGAGUACAGGAGAGGAAAGCGGAAUUCCACGUGUAGCGGUGAAAUGCGUAGAGAUGUGGAGGAACACCAGUGGCGAAGGCGGCUUUCUGGUCUGUAACUGACGCUGAGGCGCGAAAGCGUGGGGAGCAAACAGGAUUAGAUACCCUGGUAGUCCACGCCGUAAACGAUGAGUGCUAAGUGUUAGGGGGUUUCCGCCCCUUAGUGCUGCAGCUAACGCAUUAAGCACUCCGCCUGGGGAGUACGGCCGCAAAGGCUGA
rnacentral:rRNA from 1 species